CCACGAAAUAUGAAUCAAUCCGGAAAGAUUUUGAUGGAUACAUCCUGUGUUUUAUAUGAUCAUCGACUUAGUAAGUAUCCAAUCGGUGUUAAUUUAUUUGUUCGAUUUUUAUCUAAUUUAACAAACAUUUUUUUUUACAUCCUUGCAUUUAAAUGAAUGUUUUAUGUAGGCAAUGAUUACAAAUAGUAGAUACAAUUAAGUUAUGUAUGCCUGUUUUUACGCCUUAUUGUGGUCAUAUAGUUGUUUACUCUCCUUUAAAAGUUAAAUAUGAUACGAAAUUAAUAUAGCGAACAUAUAAAUUUGAUUUCAUCACUGUAGUACAAAUAUUUUUGUUUUUACUUCAUUAAACAGGCAUAACAGAGACUAAUUUCGUCUCAGAUUUAAAAUAAAUUUAAAUUUGAAUCAAAACCAUUAACUGGUCAAUGCGAGAACAUGACUAUAAUUAUACUUGAAAAUUAUGACCUUAAAUCAGAUAGAAAUGUAGAUGUAUGGUAUUUUUAUUUAAAGAUUAAUUGAAUAUUUGUCUGCAGGCAAAAGUAAUUAAACCUGCGAUGACUUCACAAAGAAAAUAAAAUAACACAAUAAUUUCUUAUAGUUUUGUGAUAAUGUAAAUCCAUUUACUGUUGUUUUUUUUUUAGCUUGUGUGGAUCUUUAUUAUGACUAGACUAGAUUAGUGUUAACUGGUAAAUGUUAAAAUGUUAACAAUACAAUUCUAUCAGUAUAUUUUGCCAUAGAACACAUGCAAAAUUAUAAAAGAAAAGUCUUAACUUGUAUAUAUGUUGUUUUUUAUUUGAAAUUUGAGAACGGAUUAUCGUCUUAUGUUUAAUGUUUUGUCAUCAAUAUGGUAUAUUACACCAGACAACUGACAAUGAACACGCUCACGUGAUAAAAAACUGCACAUUUACUCCCAUCACUCAGACAAUAAUUAUUACUCACAGUAGUCCAAUUUAAACUGAUCGCAUUGCAAACCGACGCCGAUGACACCACGUAACGCUCGUCUAGGCGAAAAAAGCUAAGUAGGAAAACAAUCAAAUUCCACUGGGGGUAAAGCUUUGGAUUGGAUUCCAACGAUUAACGAAUUUACAUUAGUUCUGAAAUGUCUUCGAUGUAAAAAUACAACGUAAUAAAAUGCAUGUAAACUUGUGUUAAUAUCAUUUCAGUAUAACAUUAUUUUGAAUAACUAAAUUUAACAAGGCUUCAUCAAUUUCCCGAUUUAGUUCGUGCAAUUGUUACAUAUGAGAAAGCACGACUUUCGAUUAAUAAAAGGCGAUUCAAAAAGCAGAUACAUCUUUUUAAACUAUGCACUUAAUCUACUUACGUGUAAAAUGUUGAAGUGUACUUCAAUUUACAAACUAACAUAAUAACGUACUGUAUGAUUUACUAGAACAUUUAAUACAUAUAAAACAGUAAAUAAAUUAUGGUAUGAGUACAAUAAAGAAUUGAUAAAAAUUCGAUUAUAAUAGUUUCUCUGUAUGUGGAUAUGGUUAAACAAAUUAGAAACCUAAACACGAACACAUAUGUCAAACAUCUUAAAUGGACAUUUUUUAAUCUGAUGCUAAGAUAUCCACUUGUAUUGACACAGUUGGUUAGCUUUUGGUUCUCCUUUCAAACGUCAACAUUUGUUCAUGUGACGACAUUUGCACUGUCACUCCUGUAAUAAGAAAAAAGGCAAACUUAAAAUGAUAGUUAUUAUUUCGUACUUUCAAUUUUUUCACAAUUAAUACAAACAAAAAUCACAAACUGUUAUUCCAAAUUGUUUGUCUAUUUCUUUUUAGAUGCGCGGGUACCUCACCAGCUGUUUAUUUCAAGUUAUUUGUCUGUUUCUAUUUAACCGCACCGGUAACUAAAAAUGUGUUGCUGUAAGACAACUAACAUUGCCAUUCUUUCUGUUUUGUUGAAAGAAAGAUGACCUGCACAGAAACAUAUAUUCCAAGCCAGUAUUAUAUCAUCUUAUAGCUCAAGAUGAAACCAAUGAGGAA
rnacentral:lncRNA from 1 species